rnacentral:rRNA from 1 species
AUUGAACGCUGUCGGCAGGCCUAACACAUGCAAGUCGAGCGGAGCGGCGGACGGGCGAUUAAUGCCUAGGAAUCUGCCUGGUCGUGGGGGAUAACGUCCGGAAACGGGCGCUCAUACCGCAUACUAUCAGAUCAGCCUAGGUCGGAUUAGCUAGUGGGUGGGGUAAAGGCCUACCAAGGCGACGAGCCGUAACUGGUCUGAGAGGAUGAUCAGUCACACUGGAACUGAGACACGGUCCAGACUCCUACGGGAGGCAGCAGGGGGGAAUAUUGGACAAUGGGCGAAAGCCUGAUCCAGCCAUGCCGCGUGUGUGAAGAAGGUCUUCGGAUUGUAAAGCACUUUAAGUUGGGAGGCGUUACCAACAGAAGAAGCACCGGCUAACUUCGUGCCAGCAGCCGCGGUAAUUC